rnacentral:rRNA from 1 species
GACGAACGCUGGCGGCGUGCUUAACACAUGCAAGUCGAACGGAAAGGCCCUGCUUGCGGGGUACUCGAGUGGCGCACGGGUGAGUAACACGUGGGUGUACCGUCCUGCUCUUUGGGAUAUGCCUGGGAAAAUGGGUCUCAUAUCGGGUAGGAACGAUCCUUCGGGUGGUGGUUGGAAAGUUUUUUUGGUGUGGGAUGAGCACUCGCCCUAUCUGUUUGUUGGUGGGGGGAUGUCCGACCUAGGGGGGCUCGGGUGGGCGGCCUGUGAGGGGGUGUCGCCACAUAUUGGCUGAGAGACGCCCCAGACUCCUCCGGGGGGCAGAAGAGGGGAGUAUUGCACAAUGGGGGCAGGCCUGAGGCGGCGACGCCGCGUGGGGGAGGAAGGCCUUCGGGGGGUGAACUCCUCUCUCGAGGGACGAGGCGUUGUUGUGACGGUACCUAGAAAAGAAGCACCGGCUAACUACGUG